AGCAGCUGGUGGGGAACACAUCGCUGGAGUGCCACCCACACCCCCCACCAUGCCAUGUAAGGCUUUCCUUGCCCUGCUCAGCCCAGUAAAGCCCAGUAAAUCCCCUCAGCCCCACGAGCAGGGUCUGAUACAGUUCUCGUUGCAGACACCAGUUGCUGUUUCCCUCCUGUCUCCAUCCUGGGUGAGCAUCAUAUCCUGGCUACUCUGCUUCUGCGCCCUGGGGCAGGAGCUGGCUGCAGCUCACAGGCUGUAUCUGCUCUCAUUCCAGGCUGUCACACUGACCUGAAGCAGGAAGGAACAGAGGGAAAGGCUGCUAUCGUGGCACGUUUUCCUGGUGAGACAUCCCUGGGGAUGGGAAGAGGAAACCAAAUGCUGCCAGUGGCUGUCGCAGCCUCAGGCUCCCAAGGGACAGCUGCCAUGAGCGAGCAGCCGGCAGCAGGUGAAGAUGCAUCAGAUGCAAGCCUUCAUGGGCCUGGUGUGGCAAGCUUGCUCCAGAACGUCCAGCAACUGCUGGUGCAGAUCCUGCAGACAUCACGGCAGCAGCAGGCACUACUGGAGAGCCUGGCCAGCGACACAGUCUCCCACCUCCAGCUCCUCUCCCACAGCCUCGUGCAAGUGGGCGAGACCCUGCACCAGCUCCUGCUCCGGCCACAGACCCAUCCUGGCCCCCUUAGCCACUACAUCCCCCAUGUGCCCCUUUUUGAGGGUGGCCCUGGAAUGCCCUGCUCCCCUGGCACUCCCCACACCUCCCCGGAUUGCAAAGAGGAACCUCAGCUGUCCCGUGCCACCAGUUGCACCCCACCAUGAGUGCCACCAUCACCUACCCCAGGAGCAACAGCUUUGCUACGCAACCACAGCACAAAUCUGUAUAGCAGAGGUUCCAGAUAUUUUGAAAGUUUAUAGAAGAGAGACAU
rnacentral:lncRNA from 1 species